rnacentral:rRNA from 1 species
AACGAACGCUGGCGGCAGGCUUAACACAUGCAAGUCGAGCGCCCCGCAAGGGGUGCGGCAGACGGGUGAGUAACGCGUGGGAACGUACCCUUUGGUACGGAACAACUCCGGGAAACUGGAGCUAAUACCGGAGAAGCCCUAACGGAGAAAGACUUAUCGCCGAAAGAUCGGCCCUUGUCUGAUUAGCCAGUUGGUGAGGUACCGGCUCACCAAGGGGACGAUUAGUAGCUGGGCUGUGAGGCGGAUCCGCCACACUGAGGCUGGGACACGGGCCGGACUCCUGCAGGAGGCGGCAGUGGGUAAUAUUGGACAAUCGGCGCUAGCCUGAACCAGCCCUGCCGCGUGAGUGAUGAAGGCCUUAGGGUUGUAAAGCUCUUUUGCCCGGGAAGUUGAUGACUGUACCGGAAGAAUAAGCCCCGGCUAACUUCGUG